UAAUACGUAGGUGGCGAGCGUUGUCCGGAAUCAUUGGGCGUAAAGGGCGCGUAGGCGGAGAUAAAAGUCUUCAUGUAAAAAUGCGGGGCUCAACCCCGUAGAGCAUAAGAAACUGUAUCCCUUGAGGACAGGAGAGGAAAGCGGAAUUCCCAGUGUAGCGGUGAAAUGCGUAGAUAUUGGGAGGAACACCAGUGGCGAAGGCGGCUUUCUGGACUGUAACUGACGCUGAGGCGCGAAAGCCAGGGAAGUGAACGGGAUUAGAUACCCCGGUAAUCCUGGCCGUAAACGAUGGGUACUAGGUGUAGAGGGUAUCGAACCCUUCUGUGCCGGAGUUAACGCAAUAAGUACCCCGCCUGGGGAGUACGGCCGCAAGGUUG
rnacentral:rRNA from 1 species